rnacentral:rRNA from 1 species
GGGGGUUGGAGGGCAAGUCUGGUGCCAGCAGCCGCGGUAACUCCAGCUCCAAUAGCGUAUAUUAAAGUUGUUGCAGUUAAAAAGCUCGUAGUUGUAUUUCGAGAUCAAAUUGUUGGUCGUGCCUUGGUACGUACUGACAUUAUUGGUUUCUCCCUUCUGAAGAACCAUGAUGUCAUUAAUUUGGUGUCAUGGGAAAUCAGGACUGUUACUUUGAAAAAAUUAGAGUGUUUAAAGCAGGCA